GACGAACGCUGGCGGCGUGCUUAACACAUGCAAGUCGAACGAACUGGCGAACGGGUGAGUAACGCGUAAUCAACCUGCCCUUCAGCGGGGGACAACAGUUGGAAACGACUGCUCAUACCGCAUACUGAAGGAGGGGUUUGCGUCUGAUUAGCUAGUUGGAGGGGUAACGGCCCACCCAGGCGAUGAUCAGUAGCCGGGCUGAGAGAAUGAAAGGCCACAUAGGGACGGGGACACGUCACAGACUCCUACGGGAGGCAGCAGUGGGGAAUCUUCCGCAAUGGACGAAAGUCUGGCGGAGCAACGCCGCGUGAGUGAUGACGGCCUUCGGGUUGUAAAGCUAUGUUAAUCGGGACGCGGUACCGAAAUAGAAAGCCACGGCUAACUACGUGCCAGCAGCCGCGGUAAUUC
rnacentral:rRNA from 1 species